GAUUUUUUUGAAAUGUUGAAAAAAUAUGCCUAAAUUUUUUUACCAUGUAAAAGUAACCGGGGUGGAUGUACUUGCGUUUGCUGAAUGCCAUAUGCUAAAUUUUUUUACCAUGUAAAAUUUGUUAAACAAUACUGUAAAUUUUUUUACCAUGUAAAAUUUGUUAAACAAUACUGUAAAUUUUUUUACCAUGUAAAAUUUGCUGGUGUGGACUUAGAGAAAUUUUAUACUGUAAAUUUUUUUACCUUGUAGAUUUUGCUCUACAGGGUGUGGGGUGGACUUGACUUCUUUUUUUUUUUUUAAUGAACUUCAGGGCUAGUUUCUAGUGUGUUAGCCAAGGACCAUAUUUUUGUGUUACACUUUCAGCUUCUCAGC
rnacentral:misc_RNA from 1 species